UAGGGAAUCUUCGGCAAUGGACGAAAGUCUGACCGAGCAACGCCGCGUGAGUGAAGAAGGUUUUCGGAUCGUAAAACUCUGUUGUUAGAGAAGAACAAGGACGUUAGUAACUGAACGUCCCCUGACGGUAUCUAACCAGAAAGCCACGGCUAACUACGUGCCAGCAGCCGCGGUAAUACGUAGGUGGCAAGCGUUGUCCGGAUUUAUUGGGCGUAAAGCGAGCGCAGGCGGUUUCUUAAGUCUGAUGUGAUAGCCCCCGGCUCAACCGGGGAGGGUCAUUGGAAACUGUGAGACUUGAGUGCAGAAGAGGAGAGUGGAAGUCCAUGUGUAGCGGUGAAAUGCGUAGAUAUAUGGAGGAACACCAGUGGCGAAGGCGGCUCUCUGGUCUGUAACUGACGCUGAGGCUAGAAAGCGUGGGGAGCAAACAGG
rnacentral:rRNA from 1 species